rnacentral:misc_RNA from 1 species
AAUUAGUUUCAUUUAGUUAUUUUUUUUUAUUUUUCUUGAAUAAAUAAUUCUUAAUUACCUGGAAUAAUUAAAUUUCCCAGUUCUUAAAGAUAACUUUAGGGCUUUACUUUGCCAUACUAAUUACUUUAACAAGAAACUCAAAUAAAGAACAACUAUUACAAUGAAAAAGAACGCUCUAGACUCUAGAGGCUCUUUCAUGAUUAGGGAAAGAAAUUAAAAAGGAAAAUUAAAAAAAAUAAAAUAAAAUGAAGAAAUAUGAACCAAAAUCGAUGACUUUCACAUAUAGAUUCUCCAAGCUGCAAGAGCUCUAGGGUUUCAAUUUUACAGUAAGAAAUUCUUUCUGUUUUAUGCUCAAAUUCUUUUUUAUCUGCUUUGUUUUGAUCCAAAUUUUGUUGUUUGAGUAUCUAGUUUUUUGUUUUUGAUGGUGGGUCUAUUUCUGUUGGGGAAUUUUCUGUUUGGUUUGGUGGAAAUUUUUAGGGUACGAAUGGGAAAUUUGAAAGUUUGCUUUUUGGGUUUUCGAGAGAAGGAUAGUUAGAUGGAGUUGUACUUUAUGGUUUUGGUUUGUUUAGCUUGCUUUUAAUGAUAGAAUGGAUAUAGAAGAAUUUGGAGUGCAGUAAAAAUAUGGCCUUAAUUGAUAUAAAUUUGUUUUGUCGUUAGGUUCAGUUAAGCAUGGCUUUGUAAGGAAAUUACGAAAAACUCUCUGAUAAUUGUAAUUUAGAUAUCAAUGCAAAUGGAAAUUGAAGCUUUUUCUUUUCUUCUUCCUUCUAAAGCUGUGGUUUUCAAUCGGGUAUAUGUUUUUCUUUUGGAAAAUUAUUUAUAAUGAUGCUUGUGACUAUGCAUGCGUGUGCGACUUGACGCUUUCUGCUCUUUGUUUCUUUGCUGGGUGGAAUUCUUUGUUCUGUAUCUAUUAAGCGCCUGUUCAUAUGCGUUUUCUGUUUUGAGGCAGUACAGCAGUUUUGGAAAGUGUGAUGCUAAGGCACCAAAAACUUCCCAAAUUCACUAUCAGUAGCCAUAUUUGGAUUGAAACUUGUAUUUAUUUUUCUUUUUUUCCCCCCAAUUUUUUGAGCUUUUGAUAACUUAAAUAUAAUGUUCAAGGUUUCUUUUUUUAAAUUUUAUUUUGUUUCAGUUUCUGUUAUUUUGCUUGUUUUAUUCCAGUAGAGUGGUUGGGCAUUUGUGAUAUUUUUCCUAGAAGGAAGUGAAUAAUGCCGGGAAAACCUGAAAAUGAUGAUCAUCGGUUAGAUCAGAGUGCACACAAUGUGUUGCAAUCGGCAAUCUACUCUCAACCUUGGUGGCGGGGUCCUACAUUUGGUGAAGGCGCAUCAAAAUCAUCUUCAGCAGAGCACCCGAAUGGUUCUCUUGCUGAUGGAGCUAUCCAGUCACUAGCUAAUUCUGGCUUAGAGAAUGGAGCAAACUCCAAUAAAGUUACUCAGAUCGCUAUAUCAUCACAAUCUGAUGGAAGUAAUGGACAAGAACGUCAUCUUAAACAAGUUCCAAUGUCAGCACCUGUUGCUAUGGGCGGAUACUUUGAACCAACUUCACAAAUGGAACUUGUCGGUCACUCAAUUGUAAGAUCGCUCUCUCCCUCUAUGUGUAUGCAUGCCUAAUGUACAUGUGCCUGCAUACCUAAUAUGCAUGUGUCAUGUGCAUGCAAUUGUAAUUGCCACCAUCAGACAGGUCUCUGGAAUUCGAAUUGUUUCCCAACUGUGCAGCAUUCUGAAUUUUAAAUAUUUUUCAGGUUUUGACAUCAUAUCCAUAUUUGGAUCCACAAUAUGGCAGGAUCUUAAGUUAUGCUCCACAAGCUAUGGUAUGUAGUCCAUGGUCUUGUCUUUAACAGUAAAUUUGAGAAUAGAGAAGACAGUUGUACCACACCUCAACUUUGAGAUGCUUUACAUUUGAACCCCAGAUGACUUCCCACCUUGUCUCAAGGCAUGGAUUUCUUUUUAUUUUGCUCUCAAAGAUUCACUUCUUUUUUUUCCCUUUUAAAUUGAUGUCUUGUUCAAUUAAUGAAUUUAUAUGGAUUUUUCUAGUACUUAACAAAUGGAACUGAAUUAUCAAAACUGUGGCAUACGUCAAACUGGUUACGUGCCAGGCUACCUAGAGUUGUUGAACCAAUUCUUUUUACAAUAACUAUCACUCAAUUAAAGUAAAGAGUUCUUGUAUAUUAUUGAUGUCAGACAUGUGAAAGCAUUGAUGAUUCCUGAUGUGAUGCUAGGUACCUCCUCAAUUCUUGCAUCAUGCUAGAAUGCCUUUGCCUCUUGAAAUGGAAGAAGAACCUGUUUAUGUAAAUGCAAAGCAAUUUCAUGGUAUUUUGAGACGAAGACAGGCACGUGCUAAGGCUGAGCUUGAAAAGAAAGCAGUAAAAGUCAAAAAGCCAUACCUUCACGAGUCUCGACACAAACAUGCUAUGAGAAGGGAAAGAGGUUGUGGAGGCCGUUUUCUUAGUACGAAGAAGCCUGAAAAUAAUUCUACAGAUCCCAUGGCGGAUAAAGAUGUAAAUUCAGGUGCUAAUCCUUCAAGACGAUCUACCACCUUCUCAGGCUCUGAAUGGUUAUCCAAAAACAAUACUAGAGAUUUGGAUUUCUCCAGUGGUCAGCAAGAAGGAAAAGGAUAUACUGGUCAGGACAUGCAAGCACACACAUCCUCCAAUGGUAAUGGCAGUGGCAAUGGCCAUGGACUGUCAUCAAUAUAUCAUCCUUCAUCAGGUGAUGUCUUGACUGGAGGCUUCUUGGGUCG